rnacentral:rRNA from 1 species
UAUUGAACAGUUCGUCAAAGCCUGAUCUCAUCAGAUCAAAAAAGCUGAGCAGGGUUGGGCCUGACUAGUACUUGGAUGGGAGACCGCUGGGAAAAUCAGGUGCCACAGUGG